UACGUAGGGGGCAAGCGUUGUCCGGAUUUAUUGGGCGUAAAGAGCGUGUAGGCGGCUUUACAGGUCCGUUGUGAAAACUCGAGGCUCAACCUCGAGACGCCGGUGGAAACCGUAAAGCUAGAGUCCGGAAGAGGAGAGUGGAAUUCCUGGUGUAGCGGUGAAAUGCGCAGAUAUCAGGAGGAACACCCGUGGCGAAGGCGACUACCUGGCCUGUUCUUGACGCUGAGGCGCGAAAGCUAGGGGAGCAAACGGG
rnacentral:rRNA from 1 species